rnacentral:rRNA from 1 species
UAUGAAGGGUGCAAGCGUUACUCGGAAUUACUGGGCGUAAAGCGUGCGUAGGUGGUUUGUUAAGUCUGAUGUGAAAGCCCUGGGCUCAACCUGGGAAUGGCAUUGGAUACUGGCAGUCUAGAGUGCGGUAGAGGGUAGCGGAAUUCCCGGUGUAGCAGUGAAAUGCGUAGAUAUCGGGAGGAACAUCCGUGGCGAAGGCGGCUACCUGGACCAGCACUGACACUGAGGCACGAAAGCGUGGGGAGCAAACAGG